AUUGAACGCUGGCGGCAGGCCUAACACAUGCAAGUCGAGCGAGCGGCGGACGGGUGAGUAAUGUCUGGGAAACUGCCUGAUGGAGGGGGAUAACUCCUGGAAACGGUAGCUAAUACCGCAUACCAUCAGAUGUGCCCAGAUGGGAUUAGCUAGUAGGUGGGGUAACGGCUCACCUAGGCGACGCUCCCUAGCUGGUCUGAGAGGAUGAGCAGCCAGACUGGAACUGAGACACGGUCCAGACUCCUACGAGAGGCAGCAGUGGGGAAUAUGGCGCAAUGGGCGCAAGGCUGAAACACCCAAGCCGGGUGUGUGAAGAAGGCCUUCGGGUUGUAAAGCACGUACAGCUGUGAGGCGGUACCCGCAGAAGAAGCACCGGCUAACUCCGUGCCAGCAGCCGCGGUAAUUC
rnacentral:rRNA from 1 species